rnacentral:lncRNA from 1 species
UCACUGCGGAUAUGAAUUUUUUUUGAGUGAAGAUAUUGUCCUAAGUAGUCCAAGAUUUGAAAAGAUAGUCAUUUAGCUUUGAUACCAUAUAUAUCACCAACUAAAAUAUAAUUUGCAGUAGUUUUGGUCAUGGUUCUGAAAAGUGAGCCGCAACCCAAGGUGUGUGCUUAGGUGAGGUGAUAUGCAGCCAAGGGCACAUGCAGAAUUUUAUAAGAUAUUGGAUAUGCAAACAUUUUUUAUGCACUCAUGUCAUCAAAUAUGCAGCCAAGGGCACAUGCAGAAUUUUAUAAAAUAUUGGAUAUGCAAACAUUUUUUAUGUACUCAUGUCAUCAAAUAUGAUCCAAAAUUUCAGUUCAAGUAACAACCAGAUCAAGAGUUCAAGCAUUUAAAUGAAGCAUCCAACAAAGACAAUCCAAUACUACUUUUAAAAAAGUAUA